rnacentral:rRNA from 1 species
UGGGGAAUAUUGCACAAUGGGCGCAAGCCUGAUGCAGCCAUGCCGCGUGUGUGAAGAAGGCCUUCGGGUUGUAAAGCACUUUCAGCGAGGAGGAAGGUGGUGAACUUAAUACGUUCAUCAAUUGACGUUACUCGCAGAAGAAGCACCGGCUAACUCCGUGCCAGCAGCCGCGGUAAUACGGAGGGUGCAAGCGUUAAUCGGAAUUACUGGGCGUAAAGCGCACGCAGGCGGUUUGUUAAGUCAGAUGUGAAAUCCCCGGGCUCAACCUGGGAACUGCAUUUGAAACUGGCAAGCUAGAGUCUCGUAGAGGGGGUAGAAUUCAAGGUGUAGCGGUGAAAUGCGUAGAGAUCUGGAGGAAUACCGGUGGCGAAGGCGGCCCCCUGGACGAAGACUGACGCUCAGGUGCGAAAGCGUGGGGAGCAAACAGAUUAGAUACCCUGGUAGUCACGCUGUAAACGAUGUCGAUUUUGGAGGUUGUGCCCCUUGAGGCGUGGNUUCCGGAGCUAACG